GACAUUUACAAAAUAUUUGUCAAUUGAAAAAAUAAUAAUAAUAAACCCGCGCUUUGAAAGCGCGGGUCAAAAUCUAGUUUAUAUAUUAUAAUCAAAUCUUUCAACAAAAUUCUUGGGCAAUCAAUUCACGAUAUAUUCUAUUUAACUUUACUAACAAGAAAUUCCAAAAAUAAUCUUAUCUUAUAAGCAUAAGAUUUUUAGAGAAUUUAUUAAAGAAUAUUAUAUUUCAAAGCUUAUCGUGAAAGCUAGAUUAUUUAGAAAAAAUUUACCGAUUUACUAUAUAUAAGACAUUCACAGCAGAAAAACAAAGUGACUGGAUUUUAUGAUGUUAACUAUUUGAGGCUUUUAAUUUAGUAAUUUUAAUUUAUUUUAGAAUGUUAAGAUUUUAUAUAUACAUAUAUUUUUGGUUUGCUGAUUCUUGUUUUGGUUUAUGUGCAGAUGAACUAUCAUAAUGAUUCCUUCCUUGCAGAUCGACUAUGAUUUGGUCACUCUUCAUUUUCUUCAGAUUUUUAUUGUGAACUAAAUAUUUGUCUCAUCUAUAAAUCUUAUGGUAUAUUAAUUAUCUUCACAUUUCAUAUUUAUUCUCUCGGUUAGAUCUAAUCGUGAUCAAUUUAAUGUCACAAAUUUAUUUCACUGGAAUAGCUACGAAAAACAGUCGAUCAAAAAAUCAAAAACUAUUUGACAUGAACUUUUUCAAACACUAGAUUGUAUUGGUAAGUCUUCCUAACUUCUAUUUUAAGUUUUAAUAGUAGUAUUGAUGUAAACACCAAAUAAACCAUAACUGGUGUUGCUAUUUUCGUCUUUUAUUUUGUAUUUCUCAUUUCUUUCAAUCAUGUUAUUUAACAUGUCAUCUUUUGUAAUGUAAAAUAUGAUAAAUAUUUGUAAGUUUAAACGUAGAGAAUAUAUGAUAAGUAUUCACGUCGACAUUGUUAUGAAUAGAAUGAUAUAAUGGUUUGUUAAUUUAACUUAUUGUACUUACAUAAAAAUGAAAGUUCAAUUUUCUAUAUAUAUAUAUAUAACAUGAACUUAAAAAUAUUCAACACAUUUAUAUAAGACUUACAAAGGAAGAAAUUCAAAACGCCGAUCAAAAUUUAGUUUUGUCAGUUAAAGUUUUAAUAGUUUUUUAAAUCAACUUCUUAUUAAGAUUUAUCCUCUGUAGAAAUAGCCUCAGUGGAACGCCUCACACCACUUCACAACGUCAGACAUAAAGGUAACCAAAAUAUAUAAUUCAGAUUUCAGAACAACAAAUAACUUCUUAUAAAUUUGGAGAAACCAAAACGAAUGAUGAACUAAUAAAUAUGAAUAAAAUGUUUUGUCAGUUAAAGUUUUAAUAGUUUUUGAAAUCAACUUCUUAUUAAGAUUUAUCUUAUGUAGAAGUAGCCUCAGCGGAACGUCUCGCACCGCUUGACAACGUCAGAAGCAGACAUGUACGAAGGUAACCAAAAUAUAUAAUUCAGAUUUCAGAACAACAAAUAACUUUUAGAAAUUUGGAGAAACCAAAACGAACGAUGAACUAAUAAAUAUGUUUUGUCAGUUAAAGUUUUAAUAGCUUUUGAAAUCAACUUCUUAUUAAGAUUUAUCCUCUGUAGAAAUAGCCUCAGCGGAACGCCUCACACCGUUUGGCAAGGUCAGAUGCAGACAUGUACAAAGGUAACCAAAAUCUAUAAUUCGGAUUUCAGAAUGACAAAUAACUUUUAGAAAUUUGGAGAAACCAAAAUAAAUGAUGAAAAAUUGUUAGAGGGCCUGAUUUAUUAUUUGAUGCGUCUUAGUGGGCUAAGACCAGCUCCAUUGGGGGGCUCUUAGCACAAGUUUUUAACAAAAAGGAAAAAAAAAAUGAAAAAGGCCCAAAAAGCAAAGAAAGAACCGCUGCUUAAAGUGGGCUUUCUAGAGCUUGUAAGAAACCUUUAUGUGGCAGUUUGUUAUUGGACCGUGCAUUAAUUCCUCUUUCUCUCCUUCGUCGAAGGUCUGGCGAAAUCUAUUCUUCUUCAGUCAUCGAUCUCUCCAUCUUCUCUCUAGUCCGUUGAUGAAUCUUCUGAAGAACAUCCAUACAAAAAACGCAGGGCUUCUCUCUUUCCUCCGUUAGACCCGCUCUCUCUCCAACUUUCUUCUUCGUCUCCCACAUCGCAGCGAUCGAUCCGCGGAGGAUGAGCCUCUGUCUACUUCUGUUGCAGCGAAGGAGGAGAUCGAUGACUGAAGACCAAUCGUUUUAGUCACGAACGGAGAUGGGAUUGAUUCGAUUGGGCUCGUUCUAUGACUCCUGGAGAAACCAUUGCUUUGAGUUCCGCCAGUAUCAAAGGUGCCACAGCCUUUGAAGUUUCAGGGACUCCUGUGGACUGCAUUUCGUAAGGAUUAUCCGGAGCCCUUCUCGCUUGGUCAAAGCCAAUACUGGUAAUUAGUGGAAUCAAUCAGUGAUCAAGCUGUGGGAUGGAGCCAGGGAACACACUCUCUGUCAGAACCGUAUUCACCAUCAUCAAAGCAUCAUUUGGGAAGAGGUGAAGAAACAACUGAAGGCGAAGAAAUGGUUUCUUGGUUCAGUAGCUGGGCCUCCAAGCAUUGCCCUGAUGCAAAGCAUAUGAAUGUUGGCAGUGACACGCAAUUAAGACAGCUGUUUUUCGGUGGCAUUACUAACAGGUGAAGCGAAUACAUGUGACAGAAGAAGCCAAGACAUGACAUUGGUAUGUUUC